GCAGCAUGAUAUUCACACAUCUCUGUGUGACAUAUCGAGGAGUCUUCAUUGAUGUCUGAUCUAUCCUUUGAGGUGUGGGCUGAGAAAACAACAAUCGUGUAUGAGUCAGGCCUUUCAUCCUUCACUAACAAGGGGCAAGCAGUAGAGAUGGAUUUCCUUGUAUCCUUGCAUCUUUGAUUAUAGAUUAAACUCCAAACAACUAAGCAUGAGGAGCACAGCAGGCAACAGUACAUUUUUCUAAACAAGCCUGCUGUUAUCCAGCUGAAAGGCUGCGUAUAUUUGACUGAAGUCACUUACAUGCA
ensembl:lncRNA